rnacentral:rRNA from 1 species
UACAGAGGUCCCAAGCGUUGUUCGGAUUCAUUGGGCGUAAAGGGUGCGUAGGCGGCGCGGGAAGUCGGGUGCGAAAUCUCGGAGCUUAACUCCGAAACUGCAUUCGAUACUGCCGUGCUUGAGGACUGGAGAGGAGACUGGAAUUUACGGUGUAGCGGUGAAAUGCGUAGAUAUCGUAAGGAAGACCAGUGGCGAAGGCGGGUCUCUGGACAGUUCCUGACGCUGAGGCACGAAGGCCAGGGGAGCAAACGGG